rnacentral:sRNA from 1 species
GAGCAUCGUAGCCACGACACGCGGCAGC